GGGGCAGUGAUCUAGCCUGGUUAUGAUACCUCGCUUACACCGAGGAGGUCAGCGGUUCAAAUCCGCUCUGCCCCA
rnacentral:tRNA from 1 species